AAAGUUUGACGCUGGGCGGGCGGCAGUGGGUCACGUGAGCGGAAGAUGGCGGCUCCGGCGGGCAGCGGGGGCUCUGCGGUGUCGGUGCUGGCCCCGAACGGGCGGCGCCACACGGUGAAGGUGACGCCGAGCACAGUGCUACUGCAGGUCUUGGAGGACACGUGCCAUCGGCAGGACUUCAACCCCAACGAGUACGACCUGAAGUUUCAGAGGAAUGUGCUUGACCUCUCUCUCCAGUGGAGAUUUGCCAAUCUGCCCAAUAACGCCAAGCUGGAGAUGGUGCCCAUCUCCCGGAGCCGCGAGGGGCCCGAGAACAUGGUGCGCAUUGCUCUGCAGUUGGAUGAUGGCUCCAGGUUGCAAGACACUUUCUGCUCAGGCCAGACACUCUGGGAGCUUCUCUGCCGUUUUGCCCAGAUCAAGGAGUGUCUGGACCGGCCGUGUGAGGCCAGCCCCGUCUGCGUGUACAUGAGAGAUGAGGUGACCGGCAGAGCCGCCUUGCAGAGCACGACGCUGCAGUCACUGGGCCUCACCGGGGGCAGUGCCAUCAUCAGGUUUUCCAUGAAGCGACAUGAUUCCACUGGCAAGCAGGAGCCUGGGGUCUCCUGGAGCAAAAGCCCAGGAAGCCCGACCCUUUCCUUGUCGGCCGACCAGGCAGCCAGCAGCCCUCUGUUUCCACUGAAUUCAGCGGGCCUCAGCCAGGGCGAUGAGAGCCAUCAGGAUGGGACAGCGAGCCCGGGGGCCGGCCGCGUGGAUGGCCUGGGCCCGAAGCCAGUGGAUGCUCAGGAGAAGCAGAUCUCGAAGGAGCCCACACCAGCCCCCUUUGUUCCUUUCUCGGGUGGGGGACAGCGACUGGGGGGCCCCUCCGGGUCCGUGAGGCCUCUGAUGUCAUCUUCAGCCAAACUGCCAAAGUCCUUCUCCAGCCCUGCAGGCCCCUCCCAGCCAAAGAAGUCAAGGCCUGGCCAGGAGCCCCAGCCGGAGCCGGAGCUGCCAGUGGACCGAGACCCCGUGGUGUGCCACCCAGACCUGGAGGUGCUGCUCCAGGCCUGGCCUGCGGAGCUGCCUGACGAGUUCUUCGAAGUGACCGUGGAUGACGUCAGAAGACGCUUGGCCCAGCUCAAGGGUGAACGGAAGCGCCUGGAAGAAGCCCCCUUGGUGACCAAGGCCUUCAGAGAGGCUCAGAUGAAGGAGAAGCUGCAGCGCUACCCUAAGGUGGUCUUGAGGGUCCUGUUUCCUGACCGCUACAUCCUGCAGGGCUUCUUCCGCCCCAGCGAGACUGUGGGGGAUUUGCGGGACUUUGUGAGGAGCCACCUGGGCAACCCCAAGCUGCCGUUCUACCUGUUCAUCGCUCCUCCAAAAACCAUCCUGGACGACCACACGCUGACCCUCUUUCAGCCGUCUCCUUUCAUCCGUCAGCUCUCCCUGGAGCCGUGGGGCCUCUGCUCGGAGUGGCGUCCCUGCCCGCCCGCGAUCAGAGAGCUGGCAGGGCUCAGGGAAGGAAGGCUUCCUCCCUCCUGCGGGCAAACCUCUUCCCUGCUGCCCUUGUGCACUUUGGACCUGAGGAGCCAACAGGCAUCUACCUGGAGCCCACGCUGCUGGAACACACUGUUUCCCCGUCUGCAGCGGACGUGCUGGUGGCCAGGUCCAUGUCCAGGGCCGCUGGAACCCCACCCCCGCCGCCAGCCCCUGACCCUGUGCCCGUUGAGUUAGAGCCAACUGCUGAGGAAGGGGCAGCGGGCCCCCCUGAGCCCAGCCCUGGGACGGCCCAGCCAGUGAGGAGGGGUCUGGGCAAGGUGCCCAAGUGGCUGAAGCUGCCAGCCAGCAAGAGGUGAGAGCCGCCAGCCCAGAGGUGCCACUCUGCCAGCCACAGGACCCCUGCCCACCCUGAGCAGGAAUAAACACGCAAGCCUCUCUUGAGA